rnacentral:lncRNA from 1 species
AUUCCAUUAUGAUGUAUUGAUAUCAUGUGAGAUGCCUUGCAUGCUUGUGGGGAGAGUUCCCUAUGAGUGUACGACGGUUGCCAUGAUCCUUGGUCUAUGUCUCAGAUUGGAGGUGAGAUAAUUAAUAUGGUAUCAAAGCAUAAGUGGAUAAAUUAUGACACAGAACAGACAUGAGUUUAGGUAGAUAGACACUAGGGAC